AUCUAAAAGAUGAUCUCUGACCUGCAAAGGUCAUCAUUCUCAGUUCUUCGCUGUUUGAGCAGGCAGAAAUACCCGAGUGCUUAGCACAAACACUGCAAUAUGAAUCACUGCUUCCUGCUAGUUUUGACAAAGCUGAAUGUUUUUCCUUUCUGGUUUGGCUAAAGCUGUUUGAUACAGUUGAGUCUUGAAUCACGCUGAUGCUGCCACCCGCUGAAAACCAAUGACUCAACAAAAUCAUUGCGAAGUUGGGUUGCUUUGUUGAAAUAAAGGAGUUUUACUAAGUUGAAUGGAAUGGGACAGAUUAACCAAUUCCGGAUUUUACAAAUAUGGGCCAGAUUUCUUCAAUUCACUGCCUUGUAGCCUGGGUAAUGUUUAUUAACCUGGGUUAGAAUUUUACGUGUUGAUCUAAGUGAAUGAUUUUAGGUAUGAUUGUGUGUAUGAAACGGGUUUUUGAUGUUAAAAAAAAUUGAAAUCAAUUUUUAGCAAUUUCGUGUUUGAGACUUAUGAGGAAUUCAAGAAAUGAGUGUUGCAGUUUUGUUGUUAUGCUUUAGAGUUGGUUGUACGUCAAGUGCCUUAUCAGUAAUGUAUUGGAAGCUCUGUUCUGUCUUCAUGUCCACUUGUUUUCUUUCCUGUCUCCACAUCACAGAUCUAACCCUAAGACUAGUAUCUCCAUAACUCCUCUUCUUUCUAAAUUACCUUCCUUUCAAACUGACCCUCAUUCCACCACCACGUUCUUUUUUACUAACCCAGACCAACCGCCAACCUCGCUUCCCCAGUGAUACAGAAGAAACAGCUGUGUCCUAAUUACAGUGUUAUUUGUUUCUUAUUUUGUAUUUUUUUGUUCAAUGAUGCCUAAGUAUUGUUAUUAACAAUAAAAACAAAGAUCAUGAAUCACAA